rnacentral:piRNA from 1 species
UUGAAAGCUAGUUUCUUGAGUUC